AGUGAACGCUGGCGGUAGGCCUAACACAUGCAAGUCGAACGGCAGCACAGUAAGAGCUUGCUCUUACGGGUGGCGAGUGGCGGACGGGUGAGGAAUACAUCGGAAUCUACUUUUUCGUGGGGGAUAACGUAGGGAAACUUACGCUAAUGCCGCAUACGACCUACGGGUGAAAGCAGGGGAUCUUCGGACCUUGCGCGAUUGAAUGAGCCGAUGUCGGAUUGGCUAGUUGGCGGGGUAAAGGCCCACCAAGGCGACGAUCCGUAGCUGGUCUGAGAGGAUGAUCAGCCACACUGGAACUGAGACACGGUCCAGACUCCUACGGGAGGCAGCAGUGGGGAAUAUUGGACAAUGGGCGCAAGCCUGAUCCAGCCAUACCGCGUGGGUGAAGAAGGUCUUCGGGUUGUAAAGCCCUUUUGUUGGGAAAGAAAAGCAGCAGGUUAAUACCCCGCUGUUCUGACGGUACCCAAAGAAUAAGCACCGGCUAACUUCGUG
rnacentral:rRNA from 1 species